rnacentral:ncRNA from 1 species
AUGAGUAACGAAAAAGGGAAAAAAAUUUUUUUUUCCUCGCCUUAAGCUUAUGGAAUUAUAUAAGUAACGGCCUCUAAGUUAAUGGACCUAAUGGUCUAAAUGAUGAGAAAAAUCUAAUUGUUUAUUGCGACAACCUUAUAUGAGUGUAUAAGUGUUCUGGAAAAGCAAUACAACUAAGUAAAGAAAAGUGCCAUAAAUUAUUUAUGGUAUUACUUUACAAAGAUAUACCGUACCUAAGAACCAAGAGGUAAGCUAGUAGAGAAUACGAAGGCGCUUGAGUGAACAAUCAUUAAGGAACUCGGCAAACUAACUACCGUAACUUAGGGAGAAGGAGUGCCGAUCCUACCGUUUAAUAUCGGUUUGGAUAAGGAAGCAUAGAAUCGUGUUGUCCGACUGUUUAAUUAAAACAAAGCACGCUGCAUUAAGAUGAAAGUCUAAGUAUAGAGUGUGAUGUCUGCCCGAUGCCGGCUGGUUAACGGAGUUUCUGGGCUGCAUUUAUUAUAAGUGUUGGUCUGGUUUUGAAGGAUACCCCGGUUAAUGGCGGCCUUAACUAUAAGGGUCCAAAGGUAGCAAAAUACCUUGGCUACUAAAUAUAGUCUCGCAUGAAUGAUGUAACGAUACAACAGCUGUCUCGAUGAUUGGCUCAGUGAAAUU